CCCCACUGACCCCCUUCUCCCUCUUUUCCAGGCUCCAGAGCCCCCCUGGCUGAGGACCCCUCCCACCUUUACCCAGGCUCCAGAGCCCCCCUGGCCGAGGACCCCUCCCACCUUUAACCACGGGCUGAGGGGGGGUUUGGGGGGGGGAGUUUUCCCCCUUUCCCCCCCCCUGCCAUCCCGGGGGUGGGUUUUUGGUUUCUCCCAGGAUUUUUGGCUGGAAGGAGGGGCCCCCCCUUGGCAAGGGCUGCCCGUGGGACCCCCCCCCCCUCGCAUGGCAGCCCCCCCUGAGCCCCCCCAGGGCUGGAUCCGAUCUGUAUAAAAUGCACUUUGUUCCGUUCCCCCCCCAAAACUGCAGCCCCCCCCCCAGCUAUAAAUAUGUAUGUACGACCCCUCCCCUGUAAAUACCCCUCCCCAGGAGCCCCCAAAACCCCCCCAGGACCCCCUGGGAGCCCCCCCAGGCCCCCCCCAGCCCGCCAAAAUCCCGGGUUUAUCCCGACACGGUGACAAUCGGGGACCCCGAGGGGGACUUGGGGGGGGUUGGGGGGGGUCAGAUGGGUGUUCCAACCCCCCCCCAUCCCAUAAUAACCCCCCCGGGGGUGUCUGAUAUAUAUAUUAUAUAUAAUAGAGCCGAGACCCAGCGGGUGUUGUUGGAAGGUGGAAAA